UGCGUAGGCGGAAUAUUAAGUCAGUGGUGAAAUCCUGCGGCUCAACCGUAGAACUGCCAUUGAUACUGAUAUUCUUGAAUGUAGUUGAGGUAGGCGGAAUGUGUAAUGUAGCGGUGAAAUGCUUAGAUAUUACACAGAACACCGAUUGCGAAGGCAGCUCACUAAACUAACAUUGACGCUGAGGCACGAAAGCGUGGGUAGCGAACAGGAUUAGAUACCCUGGUAGUCC
rnacentral:rRNA from 1 species